UCAAACUUAACUUUUUGCAUGUGUAAUGAAACAAUAUAAAAAAAUAACUAUCUACCUAACUCUAAUGAAACAGUGUAUAUAACCACCACUAUAGGCAGAAGAUUGAGGCUCUUUAAGAGAGGACUAAAAUUAUAUAUAUUGACUAAUAAAGUUAGGUCAAAUCAUCACUUUUCACAUAUGAGAUUCCUAAAGACCACUUACUUAGCUUAUCACGGAUACAAAAAAAAUGGAAU
rnacentral:lncRNA from 1 species